rnacentral:rRNA from 1 species
AGAGUUUGAUCCCGGCUCAGAAUCAACGCUGGCGGCGCGCUUAACACAUGCAAGUCGCACGAGAAAGGGGCAACCUGAGUAAAGUGGCGUACGGGUGAGUAACACGUGGAUCAUACACCUCUUAGUGGGGAAUAACUUUGGGAAACCGAAGCUAAUACCGCAUAAGUUCGGGAGAAGAAAGCAGCAAUGCGCUGAGAGAGUAGUCGGCUGAUUAGCUAGUUGGUGAGGUAAAGGCUCACCAAGGCUUUGAUCGGUAGCCGGCCUGAGAGGGCUCACGGCCACACUGGCACUGAAACACGGGCCAGACUCCUACGGGAGGCAGCAGUGGGGAAUCUUGCACAAUGGGCGAAAGCCUGAUGCAGCGACGCCGCGUGAGUGAUGAAGCCCUUCGGGGUGUAAAGCUCUUUCGACGGGAACGAUAAUGACGGUACCCGGAGAAGAAGCUGCGGCUAACUACGUGCCAGCAGCCGCGGUAAUACGUAGGCAGCAAGCGUUGUUCGGAAUUACUGGGCGUAAAGCGAGUGUAGGCGGUGCGAUAAGUUUGGUGUGAAAUCUCCCGGCUCAACUGGGAGGGUGCGCCGAAGACUGUCGUGCUCGAGUGUGGGAGAGGUAGGCGGAAUUCCUGGUGUAGCGGUGAAAUGCGUAGAUAUCAGGAGGAACACCUGCGGUGUAGACGGCUUACUGGACCACGACUGACGCUGAAACUCGAAAGUGUGGGGAGCAAACAGGAUUAGAUACCCUGGUAGUCCACACCCUAAACGAUGCAUACUUGGUGUGAGCGAUUCAUUUCGUUCGUGCCGGAGCUAACGCGUUAAGUAUGCCGCCUGGGGAGUACGGUCGCAAGGCUGAAACUCAAAGCAAUUGACGGGGGCCCGCACAAGCGGUGGAGCAUGUGGUUUAAUUCGACGCAACGCGAAGAACCUUACCUGGACUCGAACGGCUUCAGACAGCUGUAGAAAUACGGUCUUCCCGCAAGGGACUGGAGUCGAGGUGCUGCAUGGCUGUCGUCAGCUCGUGUCGUGAGAUGUUGGGUUAAGUCCCGCAACGAGCGCAACCCUUGUCCUGUGUUGCUAACCGAAAGGUGCACUCUCAGGAGACCGCCAGCGAUAAGUUGGAGGAAGGUGGGGAUAACGUCAAGUCAUCAUGGCCUUUAUGCCCAGGGCUACACACGUGCUACAAUGGACGGUACAAACCGUUGCAAACUCGCGAGAGGGAGCUAAUCGGAAAAAACCGUUCUCAGUUCGGAUUGCAGGCUGCAACUCGCCUGCAUGAAGCUGGAAUCGCUAGUAAUGGUAUAUCAGAAUGAUACCGUGAAUACGUUCCCGGGCCUUGUAC